UACAGAGGGUGCGAGCGUUGUUCGGAAUUAUUAGGCGUAAAGCGCUUGUAGGCGGCCUGUCAAGUCGCGUGUGAAAUCCCCUGGCUUAACCAGGGAAGUGCGCGCGAAACUGAAGGGCUUGAGUGCCGGAGAGGGUCGCGGAAUUCCCGGUGUAGAGGUGAAAUUCGUAGAUAUCGGGAGGAACACCAGUGGCGAAGGCGGCGACCUGGACGGACACUGACGCUGAGACGCGAAAGCGUGGGGAGCAAACAGG
rnacentral:rRNA from 1 species